GCUUACAGGGUGUAGGAAAUGAGGAGUGAGACAGAGAAGCCUGGAUGGACGUGGGGCAGAUGUAGGAAAAGGGGCAAAUGAGGUAACACGGCAUCUGCUCCAUACGUGAUCCAGCCAAGCCCAGGUCCCAUUGCCAAGCAGGAAGCUGUGUGUAACAUCACAAAAGGAGUGACCUUUGUCUUGGUGAAGCCAAUGGCAGACUGUCAUCACAGACAGAUUUACCUAUCAGGGACCAGGUUCUCUGAACUCCCAUCUCUCCAUCCAGAGUCAGAGUCUAGAAGACACAGAUGCCCCGUUCCUGUUGUGGCCCUGCCAUGGGUCCCCGGCUGCUCUACUGUAUGGCCUUUUGUCUCUUGGGGCAGGUCACACGGGUGCCAGGGUCAUCCAGAGCCCAAGAUACCAGGUUACCGGGAUCGGAAAACAAGUGUCUCUGAGCUGUUCUCAGAAUCUGAAUCAUGAUGCCAUGUACUGGUACCAACAGAAGCCGAACCAAGCCCCAAAGCUGCUGCUCUACUACUAUGAUA